CCUACGGGAGGCAGCAGUAAGGAAUAUUGGUCAAUGGAGGCAACUCUGAACCAGCCAUGCCGCGUGCAGGAUGACGGCCCUAUGGGUUGUAAACUGCUUUUAUACAAGAGAAAACCCUGGUACGUGUACCAGGUUGAUAGUAUUGUAAGAAUAAGCAUCGGCUAACUUCGUGCCAGCAGCCGCGGUAAGACGAAGGAUGCAAGCGUUAUCCGGAUUCAUUGGGUUUAAAGGGUGCGUAGGCGGACUGAUAAGUCAGUGGUGAAAUCUCUUUGCUUAACAAAGAAACUGCCAUUGAUACUGUCGGUCUAGAGUAUAGAUGACGUUGGCGGAAUAUGACAUGUAGUGGUGAAAUACUUAGAUAUGUCAUAGAACACCGAUUGCGAAGGCAGCUAACGAAACUAUAACUGACGCUGAGGCACGAAAGUGCGGGGAUCAAACAGGAUUAGAUACCCUGGUAGUCCGCACCGUAAACGAUGAUUACUCGUUGUUGGCGAUAUGACAGUCAGCGACCAAGCGAAAAGCGAUAAGUAAUCCACCUGGGGAGUACGCCGGCAACGGUGAAACUUAAAGAGUAGUAGGACGUGAGAGUUAGCGACGAGGACACAGGGAGGGUAGAG
rnacentral:rRNA from 1 species